rnacentral:rRNA from 1 species
CCGACUUACGUUGAAAAGUGAGCGGAUGAACUGAGGGUAGCGGAGAAAUUCCAAUCGAACCUGGAGAUAGCUGGUUCUCUCCGAAAUAGCUUUAGGGCUAGCCUCAAGUGAUGAUUAUUGGAGGUAGAGCACUGUUUGGACGAGGGGCCCCUCUCGGGUUACCGAAUUCAGACAAACUCCGAAUGCCAAUUAAUUUAACUUGGGAGUCAGAACAUGGGUGAUAAGGUCCGUGUUCGAAAGGGAAACAGCCCAGACCACCAGCUAAGGUCCCAAAAUAUAUGUUAAGUGGAAAAGGAUGUGGCGUUGCCCAGACAACUAGGAUGUUGGCUUAGAAGCAGCCAUCAUUUAAAGAGUGCGUAAUAGCUCACUAGUCGAGUGACACUGCGCCGAAAAUGUACCGGGGCUAAACAUAUUACCGAAGCUGUGGAUUGUCCUUUGGACAAUGGUAGGAGAGCGUUCUAAGG